GCCUGGGUGGCUCAGUCGUUUGAGCAUCUGACUGUGGCUCAGGUCAUGAUCAUACGGUUUGUGGGUUCGAGCCCCACAUCAGGCU
rnacentral:tRNA from 1 species